ACACCAGGCUCUCUAUCUUGAAGAAAGGGGAAAAAAGGACAGAGACCCAUGCCAUCGCCCUCCACCCACAGCUCCACGCCGCCGGCGACGAUCCUCAGCCGCCGCUUUAUCCAUUCUUCUCCCGUCGCGCCUCCCCGCUCUUCUUCGUCCCCCUUCGCGCUGGGGGAUUCAGCGACCGCGGUUUCCUCUCCCCGUGAGCAGGGGAGCGGAGGGAGGGAUGUGGCUGAAGCCGUUAAUUACAGUUCGGUCCACCCAGCCACUAAAUCCUCGCAACGCGAUGCAAGUCCAAGGUUGAAGUGUGGUGGUUCAGAUUGUGAAUCCACUUCAGUCUGCAGGCAAGUGUGAGAAUAUUCAGUCUUAACUCUCCAUCACAUCGCACUUGAAUUUCUGCAUCAUGGUGGUGUUACCCGGUCUGAGGUCUCAUGGUGGAUGUACCUUGAUUCUGGCAGGUGGAUAUACACGGCUAGCUUAGGUUAAUCAGUUUGGGAAUCUGUAAAAGGGGAAAAAGGAGAUCGUGAGAUACACGGCUAGCUGUCCAUGGAGAUCAUUACUCCCUCUGUAAACUAAUAGAAGAGUGUUUAGAUCACUAUUUUAGUGAUCUACACACUCUUAUAUUAGUUUGCGGAGGGAGUACUGAUGAAUAAAUAAAUAUACACUUUGUUACCUCCGACUCCAAUCCCUCGUAUCCUGUUGUAUGAUACGAUGCCUAAGGCAGUUGGGAAGCACAUCAAUUGUGCACGCUUUGCCGUUUCAGCAGCAUUCUCGAAAUCCGCAAGAGGGGCCCAUAAGUAGACUCUGACUUCCUGAAGGAAAGGGAGGUUCCCUAGGCUACUAAAGUCAAAUUCAAAGCUAAUCUCAUCAUCAUUGGCAUGUGCUACGACAUGGAAAUCAAGAUAUUCAAGGACCGGCAUAUCUCCCUCUUGAAAUGAGCAAGUCGUUGCUUGUGUCUUGAAGACCCUCAGCUUGGGGAAUGCACCUGCACCGCCCAUGGUGUCAUGAUGGAGAGCUGACCAUGUGUCCAACUCAAGGGCAACAAGCUCUCGGAAACAUCCAAAGACCUCCAGGUCUGGACUGUAUACAUUUAGUUGUAAAUGGGAGAGUUUGGAAAGAACUGAGGGAUUGAUCGUUGCCACCAGCCCGGGUUCUUGGUAGGCCAUGCGCAGCACACGGAGUUGUGGAGGGAGGAUGUUCUGUUCCCAGGGGUUGUCGUCGUGAUUGGAGAAUCUGUACCCGAGAAAAAAAUCAAUGUCUAUGACUUGGA